AAUCAGAUUGGAACCUCAUUUCUCUUCAAAGAACAAACCCUAAACACUCCCUAUACUCUCUCGCACAUUUCUCCAUCAAUCGUAAGCAAAUCCAAAGGCUAAUCAAGUAACUUUAACGUAAGGAAUCACGUGGUAAUUGUAGAAUCGUCGUUUCUUCAUUGUUUCGCUUUUCGAAAGAAAUCUUCAACUUGAAGAAACCUCUGUUUUGGAUUGAGUCUGGGAAUAUAAGGUAUGGAUGGAUUGAUAAGGAAGAGUAGGAGUAAAGGAGAAGAAAAAUGGUAGUCUUGAAUGAAGAAAUUGAACUACAAAUGACCCUACGAACUUACGCCCGCAAGUUGUUCGACGAAAUGUCUCAUUGAGUAUUUCCAUAAGCUAUGAACUUGGAAUUGAUCCCAUAUUGGUCGUAUGAUGUAGGAAAUCAUUCGUAAGACGUUCAAGGACUCGGGAAAAUGUAUAUAACUCCAUCGACGAGGUAUGUAGGGCUUUCUAUUCUCUUUGUGGCAUGACUAGAUUUCAAAUGACCUUUCAUUGAAAAGUUAUUCCGCUAACUUGGAUCGAUCGCGUUCCAUGAUAAUUGAGCUGACACAUACUCAUCUAUGACUUGUACCAAAUUAUGGUCCACAUCUCCUUUUGGCUUUCGAUUAAAAGACUUUCCGUUCAACUUGUGUCGAUUAUGUCCCAAAAUGGUUAAGCUUACCCUUUUCUCAUGAAUAACUUGUAUUGAAAUACCUUUCACAUUUCGUGUCCCUCUUGUUUAUCGAAUGAAGAAUGAUAUUAGUUAUGGUA